AAAUUAACCAAAAAAACUGAAUAAGGCAACUCGAAAACCUCAAAACCCUGUGUCACUCAACGAGUGAACUCACCCGCUUUGACAUACGAUAUAGGAAGGGCUCAUUUUCUGGCUGCCCAAACAGGAUUUUCAACUGCAAAUCAGAUCAGAAAAUCAGUAGAGAGAGAAAGAGAUAGAGAAGAUGGGGAAGCCGCUGGGACCAACGGGAGAGUUCUUCAGGAGGAGGGACGAGUGGAGGAAGCACCCCAUGCUCAACAAGCAGCUCCGCCACGCCACUCCCGGCCUCGGUAUCGCCGUCGUCGCCUUCAGCAUCUACCUCGUAGGCGAAGCCGCCUACAACAAGCUAUACGCUCCUUCCCAUUCUAACUCCCACACCUCUCCUCAAUCUCACUGAGGCGAAUGCUCGGUGGAAGGUGGAGCAAAAUUUGGACCUUGAAGUCGACUCCCUCUGUGUCUGAGUGGUAUUCAAUAAAAGCUUUCUUGAAAUGGACUUGAGGCCUGGUAAUUUUAUUGUGUAAUCUCUAGGAGCCUGAAGUUAUGAAUUGUCAAUUUGGUGUGUUGCUUUCAGUGCUACAUUUGGUGUUUUAAGCUUGCUAGUGCUAUAGCUGCACUUGAUGCUUUAAGCUCUCAACUAGAAAUUUAAUUGCUUUAUGAAAUGAACAAACCAUAUGGUUGCAACUCUAUUAAUAAAGCAAAAAUUAUUAAAGCCAAA